UCUCUUCCCUUCCUUUCAACUCCUUCCUCUCUUCCCUUCCUCUCAAACGAUGAGUCGAUGAAAUCAUCACAGAAAUCUCUUCAAUCGUUAACCUGUGUAAGUUCAUCGAUCUUUUCAAUAACUUUUCGAUUUAUAGGGUUUCUAAGUUUUUCAAUCGUCUGGUUUUUAGGGUUUCGAUUUGUUUCAAAUACGAUUUUGUUGAUCCGUGAAUCUGAUACGAUUUGUUUCAUCUUAGUUUCGAUUUGUUAAUCUUCUUCAAUUAAAUUUAAUUCGAUUUUUUUUUUCUGAUUUCAUGUUAGGGUUUGAAGAACUGGAGAACUGAUUGUUAAUCCAACUUAAAAGGGUUUUUGUUUCUCAUCAAAAUUAGAACUUUGAAGAACUGUUUGGGUCAUUCAGUGUGAAGGGUGGGAAAGUAAGGGGUGUGAACUUGGGUAAUUGUUUGGUUGUUGAGAGAUGGAUGAAACCUGAACUAUUUGAUGGCAUUUCCAAUACGGAUAUGCUCAUGGAGCAAAGGUUCGUUUCAGAACUCUGAAGUUAAAUAAGUAUAUAAGUGCAAAAAAAUGGAGGAGGUUCAGGUGUCUUUGUGGACCAAGAAAAAUCCAUUGAUUGGGAAACCUUCAGAUAAUGGAGGGAAAACCGAUCGGAAUAUCAGUUUCGUGCCUUCACUAAACAGUUUUCAUCUUGUACUGGACAAGGGGCCUCUGUCACUGCAACAUCCAGAUCACCGUCAAAGACAGAAACAUUUACUAUUGAAAGAGGGGAGGACAAGAAAGUUCGUUAAGUGUAAUUGAUUUAGCUUAGGGCAAUGUAGAUGAUGAAACCAAUCAUGUUAUAACUAAUCAUGGAUGGUGUUGUUCUUGGGACAGGUACAAGGGCAACAUAAGGAUUCAUUAUUUGUGACAAGAACUGUGAAAAGAUUCAUUACAUGGCACCUAAUAUUUAUUGAUGUGGAACAUGAACUGUUGCGGAUACAGAAGCAGUCACAAACAUGGUCAGCUCCCAACUUAACCUACACUGUUAUGCAAGUGGUUGUCAAUCAAGGGUUGUAAAAGCUCUUACACUUUUGAAGACUCACCUUUUCAGGUAUAUUUGUCUUUUGCACUCAGAUGUUUUUGGCUUUGCAUAGUUCGAAAGAAUCUGGAUAACUGGAGGUUGUUGCACUAUUUAAAUGGAGAUCUACCCACAUGGUUCAACUGAUAGUCUUCCUUAUGUCACAAUGGGUUCUGGUUCUCUUGCUGUUAUGGCCAUGUUCGCAUCACAGUACAGAGAGGGCAUGACUGGAAGUUGUCACACUGUUUGGGUUAUGUUACUCAAUUAGAUAAUUGUGAUAACUUUUUAGUGUGUAGUUACACAAUUUACCUUUUAUGCUUCUUUUGUUGGACCAUUGGGAAACUUCAGCCAUUAGUCUUGAGUUAUGCAUUUAGACAAAUUCAUUUUCCCUUAGUUGUUAUUGUUGCUUCUCUUUUUUCCUUGAUCAGAUCUUCUUCUUUGUGUUUUUGAGUCUUAGUCUAGAGAGAUUAUGUCAAACUUGUUGGAAAUGUUACAUUUUUCUAUAAGUAUGUACCGUCUUGGUCGAAUAUUCAAAAGAUAAAGACGAUUGAAUAACUUCGUCAAGUUAAUUAAUUUGAGCAUGUUCUUUUAGGAACCAUCUCAUUGUUACCAUGGCACAUGGAUAUAAAUAUGAUGAACUGGAUUCAGAUUUUGUGUGCAGUGUUUGUUAUGUUUUGAAGAUCUCAUGUUAUAGUGCCGCUUUCCAUCCUAGUUGAGAUAACUUAGGUUUCCCAGGACCUGUAAAGUGAUGGAGGAAUAAUUAAGCUCAUUCCAUUCGGAUGAUCCACCUCAGUAGUUAUCCAUGGCUGUAAGUUUCUGUUGUAUGUGAAGAGAAUCGGAUGGGGAAGAGAAAAAUGCUGAUAACCAACUUGUUUCUCCUCAGUCCUCAUUUAUCUGGAUCGCUCAUGCUUAAACAGUUAUUGAUGUAGCGGCUUGUUUGUACUGCUGGAGAGAUUCCAUAAACUGUUCGAUUUUGCGAUUUUGUUGGUCUGUUUUAUUUUUUCUUCUUCUAUUGUUUCAACUCACAUUCUCAAUGUUGUCAUUCACUUGAAACUCUAAUAGUCCCAGGUAGUUACAGUUGCUUUUCCACAUGUAUGUUGAAACUUUAUGUUUGGGCCGGCAGUUUAUUAUCUGUUUGAUGUAUUUGUGAACCUCAUCUACCAAAUAACCAGACAUCGUCGACUAAGCACAUCAGUGAAUUCAUGUGUGUCACUUUUUGUUAAUUCAUUGUGAAUACAUAGUUGUUUUUCUUGGUCCAGCUAUUAACUCUUUGCAGUUCCUCCAUUUUCUAACCGCAUGUAUCUUUGUCCCCUGGGAAGCUGCAAGAAGAUCAAUGGUUAUCCUGGUGACUGUUCACUCGGAGCAGCUCCUGCCAAUAUUAUAAUGAACAAUUUUGCAGCCAUUGCUCAAUGCAACGUGGGUGGAUUACACUAGGAAAAAUGAUGUUGUUCACCUUCUGUGGCUUUAUGGAGUUGAUUCAUUCAGGUGAAUGGCUGAAUAAGGAGCAACAACAGUAACAACAAAUUCUUGCACCGCAGCAACAUCAGCUUCACUUGCAGUUGCAACCUCAGCAUUCUUCACUACAGACACAUUCAUGGAGCCAAAUCAGUUACCACAAGCAGGUUAUUUGAAUGAUGCUUUAUUUGAUCAGAAUGGGUUGAGAACAAAGCAACUUCAAGUUUUAUAAGUUUCAUGUAUUCAUGUUUUGUAAGUUUUGUAGGAAGUUAGUAAGUUUGUAUGUGUUCCCUUAGAAAUUUGGAACCUUCCAUGUAUUCCCUUAGAAAUUUAAUACUUGACAAAAAAAAAGUUUGGUACUUAGAGAAAUUUCAGUUCUUUUAUUAUGUGAAUCUGAUAUGAAUUGAAUAUAUAUGAUAUGAAUAGAUUGAAGAAAUUAUUGUUGA